CGACCUCGGUCUCGCCAAGAUCUUCACUGCUGCCGGUGCCUACUGAGAGAUCCAGAAAAUUGUUUUCGUGUUCACCUGCCUAAAACAAGCGGGAAAAAGCCAGGUGUAAAUAUUUACUUCGCAACACCGCGAUUAGUGCCUUAAACACGGAAAAGUUUUUCAAGCAACCACGCGGUGCGGCAUAGAAGCUGCGUCUAUAAAUACAGGUUUAUAUUUAGAAUCUGCGUGACUACUAGAAGAGAGAUUAUCUCCAAACAUUGGCAAUCAAGUACCUCAGAGUUGUUAAAGGUGCAAUCUGGCGCGAUGAGAAACGAGACCAACGCUCCUCAAGCAAAGGAAAAAAAGAUAUCUUCGCGACAGAGGAACGUCUUGUAAGCGUCUGUGAAUGUUUCGCUGCCUCAGCAAAGGAUUUACCUGGAAAGGAAAGGAUUCUAUAUUGUUUUCCUUUUCUUUCGUCGGCGCCGGACACUUGAAGAAUUCUUCUAACACUUU